GGCCUCCUGAUGCUUACCACAGGCUGUGUUCUUCACUGACUAUAUAGAAAGAAGAGGCAGAGGAAGCCGACCCCAUGCACUCCUCAGCCCUGUGCCUGGUCUGCACUGCGAAUGGGGAAAUGUGG
rnacentral:snoRNA from 2 species